AAAUCAUAAAUCAAAUUAUUACAGUUUUCCCAAUUUCUUCUCUUCUUCAUCUUCCUUCUUAAAACCCCUGAUCUCCAUUGCUUAUCAACGUCUUCUCCUUUUCCGUUUCAAUCCAUCUCUGAUUCUAAAUCCCCGCCGCUAAUUCGGACCAUGCCAACUCAAUCCCUUUGGUUUUACAAUCUGGAGUCUUCACUUCGAGCUGUUCCAAUCCAUCAGACCACCUGCCGUCUACUCGAAAGCACUCGGGAUUUUGGAUUACAGUAUGCUAAAUUCUGGAGAUUGACCUGAUGCAUCACAAGGCUGAAUGGCAAAGUUUGGUGAUAGGCCCUCAAUUGCAAAAAUUCAUGAGUUUAAGCUUGUGAAGAAGGGACCUCUUGUAUCCUUUUGGAUUAUUUCAUCCAUCAAUGAAAUCAUUUCUUAUAAAAAGAAAAAAAAAAAAAAACAUGUGAAGAAGGGCAUGACUGUGUGAAGUAGUUUGUGUUGUCAGAGUCGAUCCUGUAAAUUUUUGGUAUUUAGGACGAGGCCCAUGUAAGGGAGGGUUGGUAUAGAGAAGCAUUUGUGAGAGGAGCCAGGUUUUCUUUUUUCUGCAUUUUUCAGCUUGUUUUUUUGGACAGGAAACAAUUUCAUUGAUGGAUGAAAGUCCAAAGGAUAUACAGGAACUCCCAAUCAUAGGUAACACAAAAAAUGGAUCCAAUUUGCAACAAGAAAAUCUAUGCUGUAGUCUUUGAGAGGUAGGUAAUCCUUACACCAGAAAAGAACAAUAAAAAAUCUCCUUUGAUGUUUUUGCUCUAUUGUUGACAAUGCAAUCAUUCUGUUCUUCUCAAAUCUCAGACAAUACCACACAAAUGAUUUUGGUUCAAAUGUAAGCUUUGUGGCCUUUUGUUGAUUAUCAAAUUGUUGGCGUAGGCCUAACAUUUAGGUCAAUGCAUUGGCUAACUCUCUUCUCAGAGUAAACUCCUAAUUUUAACUGGAUCUUGCCGUUUGAUUACCUGUUAGCCCAUUUAGUCAUUCUGUCCUUCAAUGUCUUACUCAUGAUGGUAGAUACUGAAUCUGUACGUAGUAUAUCUUUCAAGGCGGAAAUUUAAUGAACGUGGUUUGUAGAUAAAGUUUCUUGCUAUUGGUGUACAAAAUUUGGAUCUAGAGCGUUACUGGUAGAAAAUAGAAGAAUCAAACAUCUGAGUUUUGUAUUGCAUCUUUCUUACAAACCCCUUAGUAUGUUCUUAAUGUAUCUAGCAUCUAUUAGAUAGAAGAUUCAAACUCUUAUAUCCUAACAAGACUAAUUGAACGUUUGGCAUUAGGUAUCCGCAAUUACACAGCUUCUAAUUCUUUUGGAUUUCUACUGAAUUUGAAACAACUUCCUCAGGAAACUAGGAGGACCUCCUGAUUUUAUAUCACUAAAUCCAAUAGCUUUUAUUUUUAUUAUUUAUUUCUUAAAUCCAUUCUAUCCUAUCCCCACAAAAUCCAAGGGAAGAAUUAGAGCCUAUAAGAUUUUAACAAUGUUUUAACGACUGAUUUUUUACCCCCUGAGGGUCAUUCCGGGGGAGCUGAUUUUUGACUUGAGAAAAAAGUUAAAAGCCAAUGGACUCUGUCAUUGACAAUAGUUGUGAUCUUGAGAACGACCUUAGAAUCUCUGUUCUAGAAGUUCCAAUAGAUGGAGGUGAGCCUUUUCUUUUAAUAAUGGAUGAUUUUACUUUUUGUGUCAUUAUGGAUAUUUUUCUAUAUAACUUGAGGCUUAUGGCUCGUAUGCUUCAUCCCUUAGGAAGGAGAAAUCUUGAGGCCAGCUUUAGUUUUAAAAUGCUGGUUGUUAGUUAACAUUAUAACAUUAAACUAUUUGGAAUAAUGAGGUCCAUGGAUGAAGUACAAUGCCUAGAAGAAACCUCAAUAAAUGAAACUCUGGAAUGAACUUCUCUCCUGAAUUCUGAUAGAAUAGAACCCAGAUGAACUAAUAGAAAGGCUAUUAGGGUAGAAUUCGCAAUACAAUUAUGGUUUUGAUUGUAUAUUAGUAAUUAGCUAAAGGAAGUUGUAGGGUGAAGGGGAAAGUGUAGUUGGUUCAAUACUUGAGUGAUCCAAGGCCAAGUGGCCUCAUAUACAUGGGGGAGUGAUAUUGUAUUCCAUUAUAUUUUUAUAUUUUAACACAUUUCGGUUCUUUCAAUUCUAGAAUAUUUGCUCCCCAGAUAAGUGAUUGGAUAAUAUUAUUUAGUGAAGUGAGGGGGGAAAACAAAAUCACCUCACCACAAUAAAAUUAAGCUCAUUUUCUCGGACCCAAGACUCUCAUAGGUGCACAGUAUUUUUUCUCUUUAUUUUAAUUUAAUUUGUAGACCAUGCAAUUUUAGUAAUAAGAACCAGAAGAGAUUUGGAUAAAUUGAGGAAUCUAAUCAUACUAGAGUUCCUAAAGACUAAAACCGUGUUUGAUAACGACUUUGGUUCAGUUUAAUGUUUUUGAAAUUCAAGGUUUUCUCAUCAUUUCUUUAUUGGAAAAUUAAUUUUUAGAUUCUACUUUUUGUAGUUCUUAAAACAUGACUUUAAUUUUGAAAACAUUUGACGGUAAAUAACAAAACAAAGAAACUCAUAAGUAGAGGUAGUAUCUAUUUGCUAAAUUUUUUAAAACAAAAAAUAAAAUGGGUUCUAAUUGCAAUCAUUUUUUUCAGAACACCAAGCACAGGAACUUACUGUUGGAAGUGAUCUGUAAAUUGAUUGUACUCUGAUAUACUGGUAACUCUGAAGUCCUUUGAGUUGAGUUCAUAUAAUUGUGACUUAGGGCCAGAAAUGCAAACUAGUUUUUUGUGAUACGUUUAGAAAUUUUUUGAUGACUCUGCAGUGCAGUCCUCGUUUUCUGGUUUAUGGAAGUCUACAUAGGGAUACUGAAUAUAGCCUUUCUUAUUUUUCAGCACCCUUCUAAGCAAUUGAGGUUAUUUGAAAGAUCGUUUCUAUUUUGGAAUAGUAUUUAACAGGCAGAUUUGAUGCAGGAAAAUCCGUUCUGCUCUACUCCCAGAUGGUAUUACAAGAAAGGGCAGACCUGAAUCACCUCUUCCUCAGCUCUAUUUUUUUAGAAAAAUAUUUUUUUUGGUUAAGUCGUCGUUUUUGAACUAUGGUUUUUUUCUUCUUAUUUUAGUGUCUUUGUCAGUUCAAAUGUCUAAAUUUAGUUUAUGUACUUUUGAUAAAUCUUAAACUUAGUCUAUACUACUAGUUUAUUGUUAAAUAUUUUUCCAAAGUAAAAAGUCUAUUAGUCUCCAAUCUAUAAAGUUUAGAAACUUUCUCACAUCAUGUUUCUUUUCCUUUCUCUUCUAUGAACAUUAUUGUUAUUAAGCAAAUUUCAAUUAAAAUUAGCUUCAAACUAUCAUUAAGCUCCAAUUUAAGAUUUAUAGAAAGUACAAAACUAAAUUUACAUCUAAGAGGACAAAGUAGAGGGCCUAAAUGGUAUGUUAACCCCACCCUCUCUCUAUAUAUAUUUUGUUUCUUUGCAACUAAUCGUCGGAGGAGCUUUUUGUUCUAUCUGGUGCCUAGAGGAAUCCCUUUGUAUUGAGAUUAAUGGUAGUUGGAGAAGUUUUUGUGUUCCUGGUAGCAUUCCCAUGUCUUGAUUUUUAUGCCUUUAGUUCUCUUAUAUCUUUCUUCUUUUAAUGAGAGAGUUCUUAUCUAAUAGAAAGAAAAGAAUGUGAUCUUUCGUCUGAUAUCCAGAGACAUUCACCCAGUUCUCUAAUUGAUAUUUGGAUUGUGGAUGGUAAUUAUGUACAUUACUGCUACCUAAAUAUCGUUUCA